UACAGAGGGGGCAAGCGUUGUUCGGAAUUACUGGGCGUAAAGGGCGCGUAGGCGGCCUCUUAAGUCGAACGUGAAAUCCCCAGGCUCAACCUGGGAACUGCGUCCGAUACUGGGAGGCUUGAAUUCGGGAGAGGGAUGUGGAAUUCCAGGUGUAGCGGUGAAAUGCGUAGAUAUCUGGAGGAACACCGGUGGCGAAGGCGGCAUCCUGGACCGACAUUGACGCUGAGGCGCGAAAGCUAGGGGAGCAAACGGG
rnacentral:rRNA from 1 species